GAUGAACGCUGGCGGCGUGCCUAAUACAUGCAAGUCGAGCGAACAGACGAGAAGCUUGCUUCUCUGAUGUUAGCGGCGGACGGGUGAGUAACACGUGGAUAACCUACCUAUAAGACUGGGAUAACUUCGGGAAACCGGAGCUAAUACCGGAUAAUAUUUUGAACCGCAUGGUUCAAAAGUGAAAGACGGUCUUGCUGUCACUUAUAGAUGGAUCCGCGCUGCAUUAGCUAGUUGGUAAGGUAACGGCUUACCAAGGCGACGAUGCAUAGCCGACCUGAGAGGGUGAUCGGCCACACUGGAACUGAGACACGGUCCAGACUCCUACGGGAGGCAGCAGUAGGGAAUCUUCCGCAAUGGGCGAAAGCCUGACGGAGCAACGCCGCGUGAGUGAUGAAGGUCUUCGGAUCGUAAAACUCUGUUAUUAGGGAAGAACAAAUGUGUAAGUAACUAUGCACAUCUUGACGGUACCUAAUCAGAAAGCCACGGCUAACUACGUG
rnacentral:rRNA from 1 species